rnacentral:SRP_RNA from 1 species
UAUGCAUCAGACAAUAGAGCACUGUGAACCUUGUCAGAUCCGGAAGGAAGCAGCAAUAAGCAGGAUACUCUAUGUGUUUGAUGUUUUUUU